CCCUUAGAUGUUCUGGGCCGCACGCGUGCUACACUGAGUAAAUCAAUGGGUAAGGGAACACGAAAGUGCAACCUAAUCUUGAAAUUUGCUCGUGAUGGGGAUCGACGGUUGCAAUUUUCCGUCGUGAACGAGGAAUACCUUGUAGGCGCGUGUCAUCAUCACGCGCCGAAUACGUCCCUGCCCUUUGUACACACCGCCCGUCGCUCCUACCGAUUGAGUGAUCCGGUGAGGCUCUGGGACCUGGACGGAAAGAGCGUUUCGCUUGUUCUGUUUGGGAAACUUGGUCGAACCUUAUCAUUUAGAGGAAGGAGAAGUCGGAACA
rnacentral:rRNA from 1 species